rnacentral:rRNA from 1 species
UACGAAGGGGGCUAGCGUUGCUCGGAAUCACUGGGCGUAAAGGGUGCGUAGGCGGGUUUUAAGUUCAGAGGUGAAAUCCUGGAGCUCAACUCCAGAACUGCCUUUGAUACUGAAAGUCUUGAGUAUGGGAGAGGUGAGUGGAACUGCGAGUGUAGAGGUGAAAUUCGUAGAUAUUCGCAAGAACACCAGUGGCGAAGGCGGCUCACUGGCCCGGUACUGACGCUGAGGUGCGAAAGCGUGGGGAGCAAACAGG